UGACGCGCAGUCGCCCCCCCAGGCAGCCCAGGCAGCGGCAGCAGCUGCGGCGCCUGCCACGGCAGAUUCGGAGCGCUGGGGCGAAGGGGCGCCAAGGCUGCUUUCUGCGCGCGCCCGACACCGUACGCCACCCCCCGGAGGCAGAGGCUGGAAGGCAUCUCCCCAGUCCCUGUCCCUCACCCCGCCGGAAAGAUGAACAAGCGAGAGGUCUGUUUUGCCUGAACCCAUCAACAGCUGGGAGAUUAAUCAACCACACGGAAAAUGUGCUUGGGAUGGGGGUGGGGGAGGGGUCGAAUGUAGAUGUUUCAGACAAACGUGUAUAAAUAAAUGAAUUGUUGGUAACUUA